rnacentral:rRNA from 1 species
GAGGGGGAUAACUACUGGAAACGGUAGCUAAUACCGCAUAACGUCGCAAGACCAAAGAGGGGGACCUUCGGGCCUCUUGCCAUCGGAUGUGCCCAGAUGGGAUUAGCUAGUAGGUGGGGUAACGGCUCACCUAGGCGACGAUCCCUAGCUGGUCUGAGAGGAUGACCAGCCACACUGGAACUGAGACACGGUCCAG